rnacentral:tRNA from 1 species
CCAAAGUGCAAAUUUGGAGCAGCACCAGGCAGGUGCCGAGGCUUCUCCCGUUU